GCAGGCCGAUAUGUCGAGUUCUAAUUGGAUGAUCAGCAACCAAUUGGGAUGGCGUGGCAGCAAAGGGCGGGGCAGAGGCUGGGCUUUAGGUGGCAGCUCAAGGUUUCUUCCCAACCGCAGGCUGCGAGCUUGGGGGAAAGCAUAGGGAUGGGAGCUCUUACCUGACAGUGAACUAGGCAGCAGAGCCAUGCCUCUGUAGACCACCGGAACGGAGGGCAAAGAUUCGUCACCCACAGCAGCCUAAUUAUAGCUUUGAUCAACCCCCCCCAUCACUGACCUUCCCUGCACCCUUUGCCCUCCGCGGGAGUAAAGAACCACCACUCACCCCCCACCGGAACCCGUCUCAGAUCUUCUUCCCAAUCACUUCCUGAGAAAAUGAACCACAGAAUGAGCUAAUUCAGCAUGGCGGCUACAAGUUCUGUGUGAAACUAUUUCAGUUCGUGUUGGAAGAUGGAUGGCCCAGAGAGAGAUUUCAACCUUAAGGUUGUCCUGAUCAGCUUCAAGAAGUGUCUCACUGACAAGGGAGAGGUGCUGCUGGACCACUAUACUGCCAGCUGGAAGGGGCUUGUCAGGUUUCUGAACAGCCUAGGGGCUGUCUUUUCAUUCAUCUCCAAGGAUGUGGUCUCAAAGCUUCAGAUUAUGGAGCAUCUGAGAAGUGGCCCACAGUCUGAACACUACAUUAGCUUGCAAUCCAUGGUAGCCUACGAGGUGAGCAACAAGCUGGUGGACAGAGACAGCCGCUCACGUCCCCGACACCCUAACUCAGGCUGCCGGACUGUGCUGCGCCUACACCGUGCUCUGCAUUGGCUACAGCUGUUCCUGGAAGGCCUGCGCACCAGCUCUGAGGAUGCUCGUACCUCCACCCUCUGCAGUGAGGCCUACAAUGCCACACUGGCUGCCUAUCACUCCUG
rnacentral:lncRNA from 1 species